UAAUUCUUGCAAAAUCGGUGU
ensembl:piRNA 21ur-5185 ncRNA